UUGAAAAGAGACGGUACUCCUCAGACGAAGCGCACGGCUUCUGAGUAACGCCGUCGCUUCCUCCUCCCUCCGCGCUUCAGUGCCCGUCUCGUUACUCGAUGGGAUACAUCCAAGAGGCCAGAGAAAACCAUGUCAAGAAGAAGGUGGAAGAAGCUUUGCGCAGCAAAAUGAAGCAAAAAGCACUCAAAGAAUGUGACCAUUACUCUGCAAAGUAUGCUGAAUGUGCCAUGGGUAAAACUAUAUCUGUAAUUUGGCAUUGUCGUAAACAAGCAAAGGAGCUAAAUGAAUGCCUUCAUCAAUAUACCAAUGAGAGUGUCUUGGAAGAAAUGAAGAAAAAUUACAUGCUGGAACAGGCAAGCAAAGAGAAGAAUAAGCUCUGAGCAGUUCUUACAUUUUUGCAGCCACUGUAAGCAUUUAACGAACGAACACCAAUACUUCUUUACAAAUGGAUCCUGAUGCUGCAUGCAUGUCUAGCGUGCACUCCGUGUUUCAUUGUGCAGAGAUUUUAAAGCAGCAAUCAUAAGAGGAUGUGCUAUGCCCUAAAUUACUGAUGCAACUUAAACCGCAGUUGGUUGACAUAUGUAUGUACUUUGGCAAGUUGGUGCGACCCACUGUUAUUUAUACCUACGUAUCUUGCAGUUGAUUGCAAGCAAUUAUAAUUGAAAGAACAAGGAGAUCUACAGUGGACAAUGAAUUUUGGUGCAGGAAAUGGACGUGCCACUUGACAAGUCUACAAAGCCGGGUCAUCACGGCAUGGGUACUUUUCUCGUCUUUUAUCUCUGAUUUGUGGUGAGUUGGAAGUUGAAUGACUUCUCGUUAUCUUUGAUGAGAUGCUUUUUGGGCCACGCUAUCCAUGCAAUGUACCCAAUUUCUGGUUUUCAUUCACUACGGUAUGUGAAAAGCAAGGGCAAUGGAAGACAGACCUGGAAUAUAAUAUUACUGGUCCUUGUGCUAAGACAACCAACCCACUGGGGAAGCAAACUUUGGAUUAGCCUCUUGAGAUAUUGGUUGUAAUGCUCAGUAUUUUAAAAAUAAAAUGAAUUAUAAUUUGUACAGGAGC